rnacentral:rRNA from 1 species
CCUACGGGUGGCAGCAGUGAGGAAUAUUGGUCAAUGGGCGAGAGCCUGAACCAGCCAAGUCGCGUGAAGGAUGACGGCCCUACGGGUUGUAAACUUCUUUUGUCAGGGAGCAAUUUAGUCCACGUGUGGGCUUAGCGAGAGUACCUGAAGAAAACGCAUCGGCUAACUCCGUGCCAGCAGCCGCGGUAAUACGGAGGAUGCGAGCGUUAUACGGAUUUAUUGGGUUUAAAGGGUGCGUAGGCGGAAUAUCAAGUCAGCGGUAAAAAUUCGGGGCUCAACCCCGUCGUGCCGUUGAAACUGAUGUGCUUGAGUGGGGGAGAAGUAUGCGGAAUGCGGGGUGUAGCGGUGAAAUGCAUAGAUAUCACGCAGAACUCCGAUUGCGAAGGCAGCAUACCGGCGCCCAACUGACGCUGAAGCACGAAAGCGUGGGUAUCGAACAGGAUUAGAGACCCGGGUAGUC